UACGUAUGGAGCGAGCGUUGUCCGGAAUUAUUGGGCGUAAAGGGUACGCAGGCGGUUUAAUAAGUCGAAUGUUAAAGAUCGGGGCUCAACCCCGUAAAGCAUUGGAAACUGAUAAACUUGAGUAGUGGAGAGGAAAGUGGAAUUCCUAGUGUAGUGGUGAAAUACGUAGAUAUUAGGAGGAUACCAGUAGCGAAGCGACUUUCUGACACAACUGACGCUGAGGUACGAAGCGUGGGGAGCAA
rnacentral:rRNA from 1 species